rnacentral:rRNA from 1 species
GACAGAGGCCCCGAGCGUUAGGCGGAAUCACUGGGCUUAAAGCGUGUGUAGGCGGGCCCGUAAGUGUCUUGUGAAAUCCCACGGCUCAACCGUGGAACUGCUGGGCAUACUGCGGGUCUUGGGCCAACUAGGGCAGCCGGAACAAGCGGUGGAGCGGUGAAAUGCGUAGAUAUGCGGAGGAACACCGAUGGCGAAGGCAAUCCCCUGGGCCUGCACUGACGCUCAUGCACGAAAGCGUGGGGAGCAAACAGG